UUCUUAUAGAAAUUAUUAUAAGUAAAUCCUGCUCAAUGAUAAAUUAAAUAGCCGCAGUUUAUCUGUGCUAAGGUAGCAUAAUCAUUUGUUUUAUAAUUUAAAACUAGUAUGAAUGGUAUUACAUUUAAAUUCUAUCUCAAUUUAUAUAAUAUUAAAUUAUCUUAAAUAUAAAAAGAUAUUUAUAAAUAAAAAAGACGACAAGACCCUAUCAAACUUUUACUAAAGUUUAGCUGGGGCAGCUAUUAAAUAAUAAUUUUAAAUUACAAUUUUACAAAAAUAAAACCCAUUAUAUAAUGAUAAUAUGAUCAAGUUACUGUAGGGAUAACAGCGCAAUAAAUUUUUAAAGCCCUUAUUUAAAAAUAAGAUUACGACCUCGAUGUUGAAUAUUUAUUCUUAUAAAUGCAACCAAUUAUAAAGAAGGUCUGUUCGACCUAUAAAUAAAUACA
rnacentral:rRNA from 1 species